UACGAAGGGGGCUAGCGUUGCUCGGAAUCACUGGGCGUAAAGGGCGCGUAGGCGGAUCUUUAAGUCGGGGGUGAAAGCCCAGGGCUCAACCCUGGAAUUGCCUUCGAUACUGGAGAUCUUGAGACCGGAAGAGGUAAGUGGAACUGCGAGUGGUAGAGGUGAAAUUCGUAGAUAUUCGCAAGAACACCAGUGGCGAAGGCGGCUUACUGGUCCGGUUCUGACGCU
rnacentral:rRNA from 1 species